CAGUCGCCGCGGUAAUACGAACCGUGCGAACGUUAUUCGGAAUCACUGGGCUUAAAGCGCGUGUAGGCGGGCCGCCGCGUCGACUGCUGAAAUCCCCCGGCUCAACCGGGGAACGGGCAUCGAUACGGGCGGCCUCGAGGGGGGUAGGGGGACCUGGAACUUCCGGUGGAGCGGUGAAAUGCGUUGAGAUCGGAAGGAACGCCCGUGGCGAAAGCGAGGUCCUGGACCCUUUCUGACGCUGAGACGCGAAAGCCAGGGGAGCGAACGGGAUUAGAUACCCCGGUAGUCCCUGUCUCUUAUA
rnacentral:rRNA from 1 species